AAUAACUUUAUUUUUGAGUUGGAGCAUAAGGCGCCAAAGGCAAGCCAAGCAUCAAGAAGUGGUCUUUAGAAAGCACGACUGAAAUGAGAGUUUUCUCUCGAAGAUAGCUAUUUUCCUGUCUUUUAUUACAAUCGAUACCUAUAGUUAAUUUGACAGUGGUGUGAAGUGCUCAAGUUUCUUCAGGCAAAAUAAAAAGUAAUUAAUGUUUGUGUCAUGAGUAUGGAUAGAAGUCUAGCCUAUAACUCUCAUGCUUAACUUCAGAACAAAACCGGAGUCGAAGGAAAGACAUGUCAGAUUACCUUUAGUCUCAUGCAGAAUAUCGGUAUUCUUCUGUUAUCAGGGCCGUAUUCAGAAAUGUGUAUAUGUAUGCAUAUAUUCAACUUAAUUCAAACCUCCCAAAGGUAAUGUUGUUGUUCCCAAUAUACAGAAAUCUACAAUUUAAUGCAUUCGUUACGAAUACUCAUCGGUCAUUUAGAUCUGUCAUCAAAAGUAACGUCGCCCAGGGUGUGCCACAGGGAACAACAGAAUUACAUUCGAGAGAACGAAGAACUUCCGUUGUAAUUUUGAUCGAGAUCUCCGGAGACGAAACCGAGAGUCUCCCAUACCUCUCCGCAGCAACUUGGUGCCAGUAGUUUAAGUUGGGGCAGGCCAGUAGUUUAAGUGCCCCGUGGCAAAGAUAAAGCAAAUGGGUGCUGGAAUGUCAGCCAUCAGCCUUCCACCGCAUCAUGCAAUACCCCAGAAUGCAUCUUGGCUGGAGAGUGCACCGAAUUGAGGAAUUCUUCAACACCAGACGAUGCUUCCAGUGCCAGGAAUUCGGGCACACGCAGCAAGACUGCAAGAACAAAGUCUACUGCGCUUACUGCUCCGGAAGCCACAACAUCAAGAACUGCUAUUCCGAGUUGGCCACCUGCAUCAACUGUGCAGACUACAGAAGU